UGUUUCUAAGCAUAAGAAGAAGCCAGAGAGUGACCAGAACACAGAAUGUUUGUGCUGGAUGAGAGUGCAGGUACCAUAAGUACCAUAAGUACCAUAGGAAGGUCCCAUUGAGUUACAAUAACUCUUCUUCCAGGGAGUCCUGGUUCUGAUGAAUGAAAUAAAAAUGCCGAUGAAUGAAAGAAAACAAAACAAGGCAACUUCAGAGCAGGGUCAGACAGCCCCUGGAGCAACUGGGAGUUUCGGGCUGUGCUCAGUGGCCCAACUAGUAAAUAACUCUGCCAACACUGGAAUUUAAACCAGCAACCUUCCCAUCGCAGGCCCUGCUCCCUGACCUGCUGUUCCUUAUGACCCAGAUGGGACACAACCCAGGAGCGGAACCCAAAUCCAUUCGGCCACUGGGCCACAUAUCAUACAUGUCAGAUUAAUCAAAGCUUAAACUGAGGCCCAGUACUGGAUGAGCUUUAUGAAAGACAGAGGGAAGGAUUAACACCUUCCCAUCUGUGUACAGUUUAAUGGAUCAGACAUACACCUCACCUUUGCACCAGAAGGAGGACCAAAUCUGCUAGCUUCACGCUGAGAUGCUGCCCUUCUUGGACAUUAGGUUUUAAUGACAUCAUCCACCUCUGUAAUACCUAGUUCUCUGACCAAUAAUCUUACGUUUAAGGAAGAACUCAAACUGUUUUUUCUCUCAUAAGUCCUCAUCUGAACCCAAAGACCAAGAAUGGUGUGGAAAAUAAGGGCUAAUAUGUCCUUUUCGGCGUGAAACUGAGGCACAACCAAUUUCAGUUUUUUUGGAAAAUUUUUGCUCUGUUUGCUGAUGGAAAACCCAAUUUAGUGAUAAUAAUCUCACAGUACAAAAGUAAAAAACAUUUAUUUGGAGCUUGAGGCAAAUCAGACCUGAUAAUAAGCCUUCCAUUCAUGGCUAUAAUUACCUUUUAGGCUGGCACUCUGCAAGAGCUUAACUAUCCCUGGCAGGCAAUGUUUUCUUAGUUGGAUUUUGGCAAAAAAUAAAGCAAGAAAUCAGGCAAACAAACAUAGUGAGAGGAACCAGGACCUGGAGUCAUACUUGCCAUCUUUGCCAAAGAAAGCUGUAUCUCGUCUGUUGGUCUUACGAUACAAACAUCAUGUGUCGGUGACAUGAUCAAUCACACCCCCAAAAAAAUAGCUACCAACUCUACAUGAAUCGUAAUUAGCCCACACCCACCAUUCAUUAUGACUAUAAUUAUGGCAAAAUAAGAAUACGAGUAUAAUGUUCCUGCCACUGAUAUCCAGACUACCUUACCAUUUGUCCGCGUUUUUCAGAUAUGUUAAAAACCUUAUUAAUAAGCCCAUAGAUGUCUGAAACAGCCGUCACUGACAACUAAAUCGUCAAUAUGCAGAGUACAGCGUAUGACAAGUGUGCAAUUCAUUUAAUUAGAUCAACACCCUAAUCAGAGCAUACUG